GGUGGCUCAGUGGUAGGGUGCUUGCCUUGCAUGCAUGAGGCCCUGGGUUCGAAUCCUCAGAACCA
rfam:Dipodomys ordii contig_15769, whole genome shotgun sequence.